CAGUCGCCACGGUAAUACAGAGGGUGCGAGCGUUAAUCGGAUUUACUGGGCGUAAAGCGUGCGUAGGCGGCUUCUUAAGUCGGAUGUGAAAUCCCUGAGCUUAACUUAGGAAUUGCAUUCGAUACUGGGAAGCUAGAGUAUGGGAGAGGAUGGUAGAAUUCCAGGUGUAGCGGUGAAAUGCGUAGAGAUCUGGAGGAAUACCGAUGGCGAAGGCAGCCAUCUGGCAUAAUACUGACGCUGAGGUACGAAAGCAUGGGGAGCAAACAGGAUUAGAUACCCCUGUAGUCCCUGUCUCUUAUAC
rnacentral:rRNA from 1 species